CCCUUAGAUGUUCUGGGCAGCACGCGCGCUACAAUGGUCUUCGCAAACGGAUGCAUUCUCGAAGGAGAAUGCCAAUCUUGGAAUCUAUGCCUUGGUCGGGACAGUUGCUUGCAAUUUUUCGACUCGAACCAGGAAUUCCUUGUAAUCGUGAUUCAUCACAUCACGAUGAAUACGUCCCUGCCCUUUGUACACACCGCCCGUCGCUCCUACCGAUCGAGUGGUCCGGUGAACCUUUUGGACUAAUUACACUUUUGUGUGUUGGGAAUUUAAGUAAAUCUUAUCACUUAGAGGAAGGAGAAGUCGUAACA
rnacentral:rRNA from 1 species